rnacentral:rRNA from 1 species
UACGUAGGGGGCUAGCGUUGUCCGGAAUCAUUGGGCGUAAAGAGCGUGUAGGCGGUCCGGUAAGUCCGCUGUGAAAGUCGGGGGCUCAACCCUCGAAUGCCGGUGGAUACUGUCGGGCUAGAGUGCGGAAGAGGCGAGUGGAAUUCCUGGUGUAGCGGUGAAAUGCGUAGAUAUGUGGCGGAACACCGAUGGCGAAGGCAGCCCCCUGGGCUGAGAUUGACGCUCAGGCACGAAAGCGUGGGGAGCAAACAGG